rnacentral:rRNA from 1 species
AUUGAACGCUGGCGGCAUGCUUUACACAUGCAAGUCGAACGGCAGCACGGACUUCGGUCUGGUGGCGAGUGGCGAACGGGUGAGUAAUACAUCGGAACGUGCCCAGUUGUGGGGGAUAACUACUCGAAAGAGUAGCUAAUACCGCAUGAGAACUGAGGUUGAAAGCAGGGGAUCGUAAGACCUUGCGCAACUGGAGCGGCCGAUGGCAGAUUAGGUAGUUGGUGGGAUAAAAGCUUACCAAGCCGACGAUCUGUAGCUGGUCUGAGAGGACGAACAGGCACCCUGGGACUGAGACACGGCCCAGACUCCUACGGGAGGCAGCAGUGGGGAAUUUUGGACAAUGGGCGAAAGCCUGAUCCAGCAAUGCCGCGUGCAGGAUGAAGGCCUUCGGGUUGUAAACUGCUUUUGUACGGAACGAAAAGCUUCGGGCUAAUACCCUGGAGUCAUGACGGUACCGUAAGAAUAAGCACCGGCUAACUACGUGCCAGCCGCCGCAGUAACAC